AAAGCAGUCUCUACUUUUCUAGAGACUCCACUUCAGCCUACAGCUCCCUGCUCACUUUUCACCUGUCCACUCCUCGGUCCCACCACCUGUACCAUGCCCGCCUGUGGCUGCACGUGCUCCCCACCCUUCCUGGCACUCUUUGCUUGAGGAUCUUCCGAUGGGGACCAAGGAGGAGGCGCCAAGGGUCCCGCACUCUCCUGGCUGAGCACCACAUCACCAACCUGGGCUGGCAUACCUUAACUCUGCCCUCUAGUGGCUUGAGGGGUGAGAAGUCUGGUGUCCUGAAACUGCAACUAGACUGCAGACCCCUAGAAGGCAACAGCACAGUUACUGGACAACCGAGGCGGCUCUUGGACACAGCAGGACACCAGCAGCCCUUCCUAGAGCUUAAGAUCCGAGCCAAUGAGCCUGGAGCAGGCCGGGCCAGGAGGAGGACCCCCACCUGUGAGCCUGCGACCCCCUUAUGUUGCAGGCGAGACCAUUACGUAGACUUCCAGGAACUGGGAUGGCGGGACUGGAUACUGCAGCCCGAGGGGUACCAGCUGAAUUACUGCAGUGGGCAGUGCCCU
rnacentral:lncRNA from 1 species